rnacentral:rRNA from 1 species
AACAAAAACAUGUCCUUUUGAUUAUAAUUUAAGGUCUAGCCUGCCCAAUGAUGUAGAGUUAAAUGGCCGCGGUAUUUUGACCGUGCAAAGGUAGCAUAAUCAUUAGUUUUUUAAUUGAAAGCUGGUAUGAAAGGUUGGAUGAGAAAAUUACUGUCUCUAUUUAAGUUUUAUAGAAUUUUAUUUUUAAGUUAAAAAGCUUAAAUUUUUAUUGAAGACGAGAAGACCCUAUAGAGUUUUAUACUUAUUUUAAAUUAAAAAUUUUAGUAUAAAGUUUUUUUAUUUUAGGGUAAGUAUUUGGUUGGGGUGAUUGAAAAAUUGAGUAAACUUUUUUUAAAAAAAAUCAUUGAUUUAUGAAUAUAUGAUCCUUAUUUAAAGAUUAAAAGAUUAAAUUACCUUAGGGAUAACAGCGUAAUUUUUUUUUAGAGUUCUAAUCGAAAAAAAAGGUUGCGACCUCGAUGUUGGAUUUAAA